UACGUAGGGGGCAAGCGUUGUCCGGAUUUACUGGGCGUAAAGCGUGCGCAGGCGGUUUUGUAAGACAGAUGUGAAAUCCCCGGGCUCAACCUGGGAACUGCAUUUGUGACUGUAUAGCUAGAGUACGGCAGAGGGGGAUGGAAUUCCGCGUGUAGCAGUGAAAUGCGUAGAUAUGCGGAGGAACACCGAUGGCGAAGGCAAUCCCCUGGGCCUGCACUGACGCUCAUGCACGAAAGCGUGGGGAGCAAACAGG
rnacentral:rRNA from 1 species